rnacentral:rRNA from 1 species
GACGAACGCUGGCGGCGUGCCUAAUACAUGCAAGUCGAGCGAACCAAUAAGAAGCUUGCUUUUUGUUGGUUAGCGGCGGACGGGUGAGUAACACGUGGGUAACCUGCCUGUAAGACCGGGAUAACUCCGGGAAACCGGUGCUAAUACCGGAUAGAUUAUCUUUCCGCAUGGAGAGAUAAGGAAAGAUGGCUAUUGCCAUCACUUACAGAUGGGCCCGCGGCGCAUUAGCUAGUUGGUGAGGUAACGGCUCACCAAGGCGACGAUGCGUAGCCGACCUGAGAGGGUGAUCGGCCACACUGGGACUGAGACACGGCCCAGACUCCUACGGGAGGCAGCAGUAGGGAAUCUUCCGCAAUGGACGAAAGUCUGACGGAGCAACGCCGCGUGAGCGAAGAAGGUCUUCGGAUCGUAAAGCUCUGUUGCUAGGGAAGAACAAGUAUCGGAGGAAAUGCCGGUACCUUGACGGUACCUGACGAGAAAGCCACGGCUAACUCCGUG